CCGAGUGCUUGCACUCAAUUGGAAAGAGGAGUGGCGGACGGGUGAGUAACACGUGGGUAACCUACCCAUCAGAGGGGGAUAACACUUGGAAACAGGUGCUAAUACCGCAUAACAGUUUAUGCCGCAUGGCAUAAGAGUGAAAGGCGCUUUCGGGUGUCGCUGAUGGAUGGACCCGCGGUGCAUUAGCUAGUUGGUGAGGUAACGGCUCACCAAGGCCACGAUGCAUAGCCGACCUGAGAGGGUGAUCGGCCACACUGGGACUGAGACACGGCCCAGACUCCUACGGGAGGCAGCAGUAGGGAAUCUUCGGCAAUGGACGAAAGUCUGACCGAGCAACGCCGCGUGAGUGAAGAAGGUUUUCGGAUCGUAAAACUCUGUUGUUAGAGAAGAACAAGGACGUUAGUAACUGAACGUCCCCUGACGGUAUCUAACCAGAAAGCCACGGCUAACUACGUGCCAGCAGCCGCGGUAAUACGUAGGUGGCAAGCGUUGUCCGGAUUUAUUGGGCGUAAAGCGAGCGCAGGCGGUUUCUUAAGUCUGAUGUGAAAGCCCCCGGCUCAACCGGGGAGGGUCAUUGGAAACUGGGAGACUUGAGUGCAGAAGAGGAGAGUGGAAUUCCAUGUGUAGCGGUGAAAUGCGUAGAUAUAUGGAGGAACACCAGUGGCGAAGGCG
rnacentral:rRNA from 1 species